UAGCCUAUUGGUCAAGGCUAUGGAUCGCCAAUCCGGAAACGGCGGGUUCGAUUCCCGC
rfam:Aedes albopictus isolate Foshan contig136974, whole genome shotgun sequence.